GGUUAUUGACAAACUGGAAAGAUGUCAGUUCAAAAAGUUAGGACAACCGCUGCAUUAGGCUCGGAUUUAAAAUUGAAAUUUUCUUCUUUAUGUAAGGCAAGGCUCCGUAGAGCAAGGUCGUUCCGUGUCCAUACAAUGGAGGCCGACCCGAUAGUUUAACUCAAUUAUUCAACUCACUACGUUCAACUUAAGAAAGAUUACCCGUUCAUUUGUCCAUUCAUUCCAUCCAUUCCUUCGAGCUCCAUUCCACAACACAUACACAAAACGUCACUCAAAAUACAUACACAAUGCGCAUGGUGUUUGUAAAUCCAGAUCCCUGCUUCCAUCCGGUCACAAUGACAACUGGGUCACCAGUUUUGAGGAAUCCACGCAGUUUACCGAAUUGUAAACCGAACUGAACGCGUGCAUCAACAUCCUUCAACCAAUCGCCCAAUGGUGGUUCUGCAUAGGAUAACGGCAAAAUGCCACGGUACA